UUUGAAAAAAAUGUUCAAUUGAGUCUUUUUUAUUCAUAGUGGUCCCAUAUUCAAGUUUAAAUUGUUUAUUAUAGUCCUUAUUGUAUACGAUGAUGACAUGAUUUUUAACAUAACAUUAUGUCAGGACUAUUAAAAUAACAUUUGGAUAGGUGAAUGCAUGAAAAAACUUAUUGACGUCGUAACCAGCACCGUUAGAAAAUUGACGUCGUAACAAAAAAGGAGUCAAUUGAACAGUUUUUUCAAAAAGUGGG
rnacentral:lncRNA from 1 species